GAGCCUGUCUGGGAUAACGAGAACUGCUAAUUCCUCGAAACCAUGGUUCAAUUCCAUGGCCCGCUCG
rnacentral:tRNA from 1 species